AUGGGGGGAUAUGGGGUGGUAUAUGGGUGCUAUGGGGUGCUAUGGGGUGAUAUAUGGGGUGGUAUAUGGGUGCUAUGGGGAGCUGUGGGGUGAUAUAUGGGGUGAUAUAUGGGUGCUAUGGGGUGCUAUGGGGUGAUAUCUGGGAAGCUAUGAGGUUCUAUAGGGUUUUAUGAGGUGAUAAGGGGUGAUAAGGGGUGCUGUGGGGGGAUAUGGGGUGCUGUGGGGUGUUGUGGGGCGCUGUGGGGGGAUAUGGGGUGCUGUGGGGUGCUGUGGGGCGCUGUGGGGUGCUUGGGGUGCUGUGGGGUCAGCGGGGCAACGUGUGGGGUGAUCUUGGGUCAGUGUAAGGCACCGGAGUCAUUAUGGGACAGGGCCUAUGGGGCAGGGCAUCAGUGGGGCUGGCUGCCUAUGGGGCCGGCUAUGGGGCUGUCCCACUGUGGGGCUGGUUAUGAGGCUGGCUAUGGGGCAGGCUGUGUGUGGGGCAGGCCGUGCGGGGCAGCCCCACUAUGGGGCAGACUGGUUAUGGGGCAGGUUGGCUAUGGGGUAGGCCGGCUAUGGGUCUGGCUAUGGGUCUGGCUAUGGGGCUGGUUAUGGGGCAGGCUGGCUACGGGGCAGGCCGGCUAUGGAGCUGGCUAUGGGGCUGUCCAUGGGGCAGGCUGGCUAUGGAUCUGGUUAUGGGGCAGUCUCACUAUGGGGCAGGCUGGUUAUGAGGCUGGCUAUGGGGCUGGCCAAGGGGCAGGCCGGCUAUGGGGCAGGCCGGCUAUGGGGCAGGCUGGCUAUGGGGCUGGCUAUGGGGCAGGCCAGCUAUGGGGCCAGCUAUGGGUCUGGCUAUGGGGCAGGCCGGCUAUGGGGCUGGCCAUGGGGCGGGCCAGCUAUGGGGCCGGCUAUGGGGCUGGCCAUGGGGCAGGCUGGCUAUGGGUUCAGCUAUGGGGCCAGCUAUGGGUCCAGCUAUGGGGCCGGAUAUGGGUCCGGCUAUGGGGCAGGCUGGCUAUGGGUCCAGCUAUGGGGCUGGCUAUGGGUCCAGCUAUGGGGCCGGCUAUUGGGCAGGCUGGCUAUGCGUCCAGCUAUGGGGCCGGCUAUGGGGCUGGCUAUGGGUCCAGCUAUGGGUCCAGCUAUGGGGCCGGCUAUGGGGCAGGCUGGCUCUGGGGCCGGCUCUGGGUCCGGCGGUGCGGGGCGGCCCCACCUGCGCGGCACGUCCUGCCCCCCGUAGGCGAUGCUGAGGCUGUGCGGCCCCACGGCGCUGGGGCUGUAGGUGACGCUGUGCGUCCCGUCGCCGUUGUCGCGGACCUCCACCGGCUCCGGGGCUCCUGCGGGAACAGCCAAGGCGCUAGGGGGCGCUAUGGGGCGCUACAGGCGCUAGGGGGCGCUACAGGCGCUACAGGCGCUGGGGGGCGCUACAGGCGCUGGGGUCAGUGGGGCUCUAUGGGGCGCUAUGGGGUCAGUGGCGUGAUAUGGGGUCAGUGGGGCGCUA
rnacentral:lncRNA from 1 species